rnacentral:misc_RNA from 1 species
AAAGUCGUAACAAGGUUUCCGUAGGUGAACCUGCGGAAGGAUCAUUAUCAAUUUACAGCGGGCUUCGGCCCUGUCUGCACCCUUGUCUUUUGCGUACUGUUUGUUUCCUCGGUGGGCUUGCCCACCGAUAGGACUCCAUACCACCCUUUGUAGUUGCAAUCAGCGUCAGAAAAACAUAAUAAUUACAACUUUCAACAACGGAUCUCUUGGUUCUG